AUGCCACAGUGAGAGAGGACAUUUCCCAUCUGAAUCAUACGGAGUUCCUUCUCUUCAUCAGGGAUUCUGGCCACCGCUUUUCAGCUACUUGCUCCUCACUUUUCAUCAGUGAGGAAGCAAUCAGAGGGUGGUCAGGAAAGACGUCAGAAAGACGAUGGAGAGAGAGCAAAGAAAGAUAGAGGAGAACCGGAGGACGUGUUGGAGUAAACUCCAUGUGGAUGGGAUUAAGACAGUUCUCUUAUUUCCCAACUCACUCGCUCACUUUUGAUCAGGAAUAUGAAAAUGUUAAGCAGCAUGGCAGCAGAAACACCCCCUCUUCAGGUUUAUCUGAGACUGGAAUAUGGAGCUAACAGUUGGAGCAGAGAUCUUCUGACCUCCUCCUUCCCGAUUCCUGUUCCAGCUCCUCAGAAUGACAUGGACAAUUACAAGAAUCUGAGAUACAAUCUUCUUAGAGGAUCCUGGCUGCGCCCCUCAGGCCUGCACCUGGUAAGACACUCUGGAAAUUCGUCUCCCAGUAGACGCCUGGAAGACAUCCUCAUCAGAUUCCUGGAUAACCUCAACGUGCUCUUUUUAUAUGCCAGGGAGGUGACAGGGAACACCUCCCUGAUGGAUAAGACCCUCACCAUAUUCUUUAAUCUUAUCCUUGGCUGCUCUUGUUUAAAAUCUCAGCUUUAAAGCCUGGUCUGUGUGGAUUCAUGCAGGAAAACAGAGGUAUUCCAACUUAUUAAAAAAUAAAGAAACU